rnacentral:misc_RNA from 1 species
CGUAGGUGAACCUGCGGAAGGAUCAUUAUCGUACAAAAUGUGAGGGGCAUGCGAGGGCUGUCGCUGACCGAAAAGUCGUGCACGCCCGAGUGUGUCCUCUUGCAUAAUAAUCCAUCUCACCCUUUGGUCAUCACCGCGUGGGGCCCCUUCGGGAUCAUCUCGGGGGGGGGCCCGCGUUUUCACACAAACCCCCCUUUUAAAAGUGUAGAAUGACCACAUUUAUGCAAUCAAUACAACUUUCAACAACGGAUCUCUUGGCUCUC